AAAAAGAGACAUCUCCCAAAUAAAAGGUUGAAAACAAAAUAUAAACUACCUAUUUGUAUUUGGAAAAUGAUAACAUAUAAAUAUGUUCUCUGUUUAAAAUGCUCAAGGAAAUUAAAAUUGUGUAGGAAAUAAGAAAAAAGUACUAUCAAAAUAAGAGGGAGAGCUCACUAUAAUAUCUAACAAAAAAGAAAAUAACAGAUAUUAAAAACUCAACGUAAAAUAAAAUAGCAAAGUUAUUUUCUUACCUCAAGAAGAAACAUUUUAUGGUCUAGCUUUUAAAAUUCAGUUUUUAGCCUAUUUCACAUAAGAAUUGUUUAAAAGAACAAAGGAAGGGAGAAAAGGAGGGAGGGAGGAAGGGAAGGAGGGAGGAAUGGUUAUAGUUACUUCAUAUUUUCCUUCAUAUGAUUCAAGUUUUAUUAAAUUUUAAAUAGACGUAGUUAAAAAGAAAGCAUGUUAGGACUUCCACAAGUGACAACCCAGUAUCACCUGGCACAAUGUAAAGGUGAAGUUGAAAAAUAGAUGUGUUGAAAACAGAAGAAAACGUUAUAUUUUACAUAGUUUCUGUUGCUACCAAAGACUGUUCUGCAGGUCUGCAUCCCUUGUUACAAAGAUAAUUUAACAGAAAGAACAGGGACAAAAUAGAAGAGAAACAAACAAACAAAAAAAAGUGCUGCUACGGACUGAUUG
rnacentral:lncRNA from 1 species